AGAGUUUGAUCAUGGCUCAGAACGUACGCUGGCGGCACGCCUAACACAUGCAAGUCGAACGAAGUAGCAAUACUUAGUGGCAGACGGGUGAGUAACAUGUGGGUAUCUGCCCUUUGGCCUGGAAUAACACGAGGAAACUUGUGCUAAUACCGGAUAAGUCUUUACGGAGAAAGCUUUAUGCACCAUUGGAUGAGCCCGCACUUGAUUAGUUUGUUGGUGGGGUAAUGGCCUACCAAGACUGUGAUCAAUAGCUGAUUUGAGAGGAUGAUCAGCCACAUUGGGACUGAGACACGGCCCAAACUCCUACGGGAGGCAGCAGUGGGGAAUCUUGCACAAUGGAGGAAACUCUGAUGCAGCGAUGCCGCGUGAGUGAAGAAGGCCCUUGGGUUGUAAAGCUCUUUCGUCGGGGAAGAAAAUGACUGUACCCGAAUAAGAAGGUCCGGCUAACUUCGUGCCAGCAGCCGCGGUAAUACGAAGGGACCUAGCGUAGUUCGGAAUUACUGGGCUUAAAGAGUUCGUAGGUGGUUGAAAAAGUUAGUGGUGAAAUCCCAGAGCUUAACUCUGGAACUGCCAUUAAAACUUUUCAGCUAGAGUAUGAUAGAGGAAAGCAGAAUUUCUAGUGUAGAGGUGAAAUUCGUAGAUAUUAGAAAGAAUACCAAUUGCGAAGGCAGCUUUCUGGAUCAUUACUGACACUGAGGAACGAAAGCAUGGGUAGCGAAGAGGAUUAGAUACCCUCGUAGUCCAUGCCGUAAACGAUGUGUGUUAGACGUUGGAAAUUUAUUUUCAGUGUCGCAGCGAAAGCGAUAAACACACCGCCUGGGGAGUACGACCGCAAGGUUAAAACUCAAAUGAAUUGACGGGGACCCGCACAAGUAGUGGAGCAUGUGGUUUAAUUCGAAGAUACGCGCAGAACCUUACCAACACUUGACAUGUUCGUCGCGACUCUAAGAGAUUAGAGUUUUCGGUUCGGCCGGACGAAACACAGGUGCUGCAUGGCUGUCGUCAGCUCGUGUCGUGAGAUGUUGGGUUAAGUCCCGCAACGAGCGCAACCCUCACUUUUAGUUGCCAUCAUUAAGUUGGGCACUCUGAAAGAACUGCCAGUGAUAAGCUGGAGGAAGGUGGGGAUGACGUCAAGUCCUCAUGGCCCUUACGUGUUGGGCUACACACGUGCUACAAUGGCAGUGACAAUGAGAUGCUAAACAGCGAUGUUAAGCUAAACUCAAAAACCUGCCUCAGUUCGGAUUGCACUCUGCAACUCGAGUGCAUGAAGCUGGAAUCGCUAGUAAUCGCUCAUCAGCGCGGAGCGGUGAAUACGUUCCCGGGUCUUGUACACACCGCCCGUCACACCAUGGAAGUUGGUUACACCUUAAGGCAAAGCUUAUACCUUUGACUACGGUAGGAUCAGCGACUGGGGUGAAGUCGUAACAAGGUAGCCGUAGGGGAACCUGCGGCUG
rnacentral:rRNA from 1 species